CAGAGGUCCCAAGCGUUGUUCGGAUUCACUGGGCGUAAAGGGUGCGUAGGCGGUCGGGUAAGUCUGAUGUGAAAUCUCACAGCUUAACUGUGAAACUGCAUUGGAUACUAUUCGGCUAGAGAGUUGGAGGGGGGACUGGAAUUCUUGGUGUAGCAGUGAAAUGCGUAGAUAUCAAGAGGAACACCAGUGGCGAAGGCGAGUCCCUGGACAACUUCUGACGCUGAGGCACGAAAGCUAGGGGAGCAAACAGGAUUAGAUACCCUGGUAGUCCUAGCUGUAAACGGUGCUUAUUUGCUGUAAAAGGAAUCGACCCCUUUUGUGGCGUAGCAAACGCGUUAAAUAAGCCGCCUGGGAAGUACGGUCGCAAGAUUA
rnacentral:rRNA from 1 species